CCUACGGGCGGCAGCAGUGAGGAAUAUUGGUCAAUGGGCGCAAGCCUGAACCAGCCAAGUAGCGUGAAGGAUGACUGCCCUACGGGUUGUAAACUUCUUUUGUACAAGAAUAAAGUGGGGCACGUGUGCCUUUUUGUAUGUACUUUAUGAAUAAGGAUCGGCUAACUCCGUGCCAGCAGCCGCGGUAAUACGGAGGAUCCGAGCGUUAUCCGGAUUUAUUGGGUUUAAAGGGAGCGUAGAUGGGUUGUUAAGUCAGUUGUGAAAGUUUGCGGCUUAACCGUAAAAUUGCCAUUGAUACUGGCAGCCUUGAGUAUAGGUGAGGUAGGCGGAAUGCGUGGUGUAGCGGUGAAAUGCUUAGAUAUCACGCAGAACACCGAUUGCGAAGGCAGCUUACUAAACUGCCACUGACAUUGAUGCUCGAAAGCGUGGGGAGCAAACAGGAUUAGAUACCCGUGUAGUC
rnacentral:rRNA from 1 species